rnacentral:lncRNA from 1 species
GUAAUCUGUCCUGUCUGGCUCACCCCAGCCAGCUGAUGGCAUAUGCAGGAACGGAAGCCUUCUCUGUGAUCCAGGACAACAUUAGGACAUGUGCAAUUCAGGGUUUUAGUGUUCCUAGCAAUAUGAUAUCCAGCUUGGUCUUGAAAUCGUCUGACCUGCAGUCUCCCUCCAGUCUCACUCCUCAGAGAGUCUCUGAGCUUGGCCCUUUUCUGCCCCUGCUCGGAUCCAGUGUCCUGCAGCAGCUGACCUCAGCCCAGCUCAUGCCUGCUCUCAGCACCCUCGCCUCUGUGCCUUUCACCCCUGCACAGGCACGUGUUAUCAUCGACAAGAUCUCAG